rnacentral:rRNA from 1 species
UAGGGAAUCUUCCACAAUGGACGCAAGUCUGAUGGAGCAACGCCGCGUGAGUGAAGAAGGUUUUCGGACCGUAAAGCUCUGUUGUUGGUGAAGAAGGAUAGAGGUAGUAACUGGCCUUUAUUUGACGGUAAUCAACCAGAAAGUCACGGCUAACUACGUGCCAGCAGCCGCGGUAAUCGUAGGUGGCAAGCGUUGUCCGGAUUUAUUGGGCGUAAGCGAGCGCAGCG